UACGUAGGGAGCGAGCGUUAUCCGGAUUUAUUGGGUGUAAAGGGUGCGUAGGCGGUUUAUUAAGUCUAAGGUUUAAGUCUGAAGCUUAACUUCAGUUCGCCUUAGAAACUGAUUGGCUAGAGUAUGGUAGAGGCAAGUGGAAUUUCUAGUGUAGCGGUAAAAUGCGUAGAUAUUAGAAGGAACACCAGUGGCGAAGGCGACUUGCUGGGCCAUCACUGACGCUGAGGCACGAAAGCGUGGGGAGC
rnacentral:rRNA from 1 species